UACGAAGGGUGCAAGCGUUAAUCGGAAUUACUGGGCGUAAAGCGUGCGUAGGCGGUUGUUUAAGUCUGCUGUGAAAUCCCCGGGCUCAACCUGGGAAUGGCAGUGGAUACUGGACAGCUAGAGUGUGUCAGAGGAUGGUGGAAUUCCCGGUGUAGCGGUGAAAUGCGUAGAGAUCGGGAGGAACAUCAGUGGCGAAGGCGGCCAUCUGGGACAACACUGACGCUGAGGCACGAAAGCGUGGGGAGCAAACAGG
rnacentral:rRNA from 1 species